rnacentral:lncRNA from 1 species
GGCCUUCCGUCUUCUCAUGUAUACAUUUUUCCUUUUGCUGUUUUGUCUCGCUUUUGUCGCUUUGCUUUUCUUCCUUUGGCCUUCUGGGCUUCGUGGUGUAUAUUUCGCAAAUAGAAUGAAAAGAAGAUUUUGUAUUACCUUGUCCGCAUAUUGUAUUAAAUUGAUGUCUGUCGGACUUCUCUUGUCGUUUGACUUGUCUGAUGUUGGUGUCGUUUGGAGAUGCCC